GUCACCUGUCAGUGUGUUCAGCCCCAAACCGUGGUAAGGGGCGGCCUGACUUGGGCAGAGAAAAAGAACACGGCUGUCGGCUGCUUCCAGUCAACUUUAUUUUCCACUUUCUCGCCACCAGAGAACAGCACACCCAAAAUCCCCGCACUUCCUGGUUCACAGGUCACGCUCUACCCGCCCCACAUAGCUGGCCAAACACAUGCCUGCAACGAUGGUGACGUCACUCUGAAAUGAGCCAAUGAAAUACUUUGUUUACUUGACAAGAGCUGAGAGAACCAUGGCUAGCUCAAAAUGUUCUGUGCGCCCUUGUUGAGUCUCACGGCAGGUGUGCUGAGGCUUGGGACAUUCACUCCGACUGGCUGCCGUGUUGAUGCUUCAGAGCGGGGUGAACGUGUGCUUGAUAUGUUGCUGCAGCUCUGUAUCCGACGAUGCAAAUCCACAUUUGUCGCAGCGUGCCAUCACGGAGGAGCUAAUUGACUGGACCAGGACGGGCGCUUGCGUGCUGUACACCAUGGUGGGGAAGCUUUGAUAGGUGACGGGCUUCAUGUUGAGGGGGUCACCCGGCAGCAGCAGCUCCACCCACUUCCACAGCUUCACAUCACAGUACACAUCAGAUUCUGCUUCUGCUGGAGAAUGAUGCUGUGUAGCAGAAGAGGAGACGAGAAAGACAUGGUGUAAGGUUUUGAUGAUAAACAGAGCAUAGCCCCUCCCCCUACAUUGCUCAUUCUUACGGUCUGAUCCACGCAACCCUCGAUACGUUUGUAAACAAAAGCCUUGACAACACGCUCUUAAGCAGAGUUACUAAAUUAAAUUUAAUAACAUAAAUCUGUAGGGUUUUUCUCCCCACUGGUGGCGUGGGGGGUGUCGACGUUUCCUCUGAUUGCAAAGUGAAGGCCCAACCAGUGAGGCUUUGCCACGACAAGAGGGGUCGCAAAGACGACGCCCCGGUUCGGAGGAAAAAUGCCGAUUCGUCAGGCAGAUAAAUGCCGCUUACGUACCUUUGGUGAAAUUGUGUACUUGUAGGUUAAGAUAAGACGUUUAAAACAUUAUUGCUGGAUGGUUUCCUGGUGCUUGUCAACGCUGCAAAUCGGGGGGUCUUUUCAACGUUAGCUUCGUGUUGCUUAGCUUGACUACUCCGGAAAACAAAAAUAUGCCUUCAA